rnacentral:snoRNA from 1 species
CCAUGAUGUGCAAAAUUUAUUACCUACAUUAUUUGAACGUAGAGAAAAGCCGUGUAAACAAAACCGAACUGAGUG